UUGUGAACUUGCCCAAUUCUUUUCUGGGUGUUCUCAGGCCAUUGGAACUAUCCUUUGAACAAAAGGCCUUUUCAUUUUGUAUCCCUAGGGAUAGAUGGGAUAAGGAGUUCUUCAAGUUGCAGGGUGGCUAAUUGUUACUUCGUCGACUUCACAAAGUUCUUGGUACUAGAAUUUUGAUUGAAUUGGAAUUUUUUAGAUGGGUUCUACACAAGGGUCUACAUUGUCGACUAAUAUGGCAGAUUUAGUUGAUGGUUCACCUACUCGACGACAGUUUUCUUACUUCGAUACUAUGCCUGUUUAUGUUAAGGAGCUCAUCGCUGGUGGAGCUGCAGGAGGAAUUGCCAAGACUGCUGUUGCACCCCUUGAAAGGACUAAAAUACUCUUGCAGACAAGAACUGAAGGUUUUCAAUCUCUUGGGGUGUUUCAGUCCUUGAAGAAAUUAUU
rnacentral:misc_RNA from 1 species